rnacentral:rRNA from 1 species
UACGGGGGGAGCAAGCGUUGUUCGGAUUUACUGGGCGUAAAGGGCGCGUAGGCGGCGCCGCAAGUCAGUUGUGAAAUCUCCGGGCUUAACCCGGAGCGGCCAGGUGAUACUGUCGUGCUGGAGUGCGGAAGGGGCUAGUGGAAUUCUCGGUGUAGCGGUGAAAUGCGUAGAUAUCGAGAGGAACACCUGCGGCGAAGGCGGGUAGCUGGGCCGACACUGACGCUGAGGCGCGAAAGCGAGGGGAGCGAACGGG